rnacentral:rRNA from 1 species
CCUACGGGGGGCAGCAGUGAGGAAUAUUGGUCAAUGGGCGGAAGCCUGAACCAGCCAAGUCGCGUGAGGGAUUAAGGCCCUGCGGGUCGUAAACCUCUUUUGCAGGGGAGCAGAGGUCCGGACGUGUCCGGGCCGGGAGAGUACCCGGAGAAAAAGCAUCGGCUAACUCCGUGCCAGCAGCCGCGGUAAUACGGGGGAUGUGAGCGUUCUCCGGAUUUAUUGGGUUUAAAGGGUGCGUAGGCGGGCAUUUAAGCCGGCGGUCAAAUGUCGGGGCUCAACCCCGGCCUGCCGUCGGAACUGGGUGGCUGGAGUGGGCGAGAAGUAUGCGGAAUGCGUGGUGUAGCGGUGAAAUGCAUAGAUAGCACGCAGAACCCCGAUUGCGAAGGCAGCAUACCGGAGCCCUACUGACGCUGAGGCACGAAAGUGCGGGUAUCGAACAGGAUUAGAUACCCCAGUAGUC